rnacentral:rRNA from 1 species
UAGCCGUAAACGAUACUCGCUAGGUGUCGGCCACGGUGCGACCGUUGUCGGUGCCGUAGGGAAGCCGUGAAGCGAGCCACCUGGGAAAGUACGGCCGCAAGGCUGAAACUUAAAGGAAUUCGGCGGGGGAGCACAACAACGGGUGGAGCUUGCGGUUUAAUUGGAUUCAACGCCGGAAAUCUUACCGGGACCGACAGCAACAUGAAGGCCAAGCUGAAGACUUUGCCGGAUUAGCUGAGAGGAGGUGCAUGGCGUAGUCGUGU